AGUGAACGCUGGCGGUAGGCCUAACACAUGCAAGUCGAACGGCAGCACAGUAAGAGCUUGCUCUUACGGGUGGCGAGUGGCGGACGGGUGAGGAAUACAUCGGAAUCUACCUUUUCGUGGGGGAUAACGUAGGGAAACUUACGCUAAUACCGCAUACGACCUACGGGUGAAAGCAGGGGAUCUUCGGACCUUGCGCGAUUGAAUGAGCCGAUGUCGGAUUAGCUAGUUGGCGGGGUAAAGGCCCACCAAGGCGACGAUCCGUAGCUGGUCUGAGAGGAUGAUCAGCCACACUGGAACUGAGCCACGGUCCAGACUCCUACGGGAGGCAGCAGUGGGGAAUAUUGGACAAUGGGCGCAAGCCUGAUCCAGCCAUACCGCGUGGGUGAAGUAGGCCUUCGGGUUGUAAAGCCCUUUUGUUGGGAAAGAAAAGCAGCAGGUUAAUACCCCGCUGUUCUGACGGUACCCAAAGAAUAAGCACCGGCUAACUUCGUG
rnacentral:rRNA from 1 species